GUUGAGAGGUCACGCUUUGUGCUGUUUCAUCGGCGUCUUUGCGCUCUCUUGUGGUUGUGGAGGGGAAAACGUCUGCCGCUGCAAACCCAGCCUUGGAAGAAGAUGAGAUCCGAAUUUCAACACUCCAGCAAAUCCAUGUCACGAGUCCACGUGGAGCACGUCAGCCAUUUUGAACAACAGCAAAUCAACUCGAUGAAAAAGAUGCGGCCUGAACUCACUCUCCCCUGGGGGUCUGACCUGCACUUGAGGACAAUCCAGGCCUGGCUGGGUAAUCAUUGACCUGUUCCCCGUGGCAAUCAAGUCACAACAUACUGUACAACAACUGGGCUGUCGAUAAUAAAGUGAUCAUAUCUCCACAGGUGCAUGAACCCAAUCAGACAGAUGAGGAUGUAUCACAUUUCAGACCAGAAAUUUCAACACGGACCUCCGUGAUAUGCACUGUGCAUUUUCGUUAUCACCGUUACUCAGUGGUGGGUCAUACAGGUGAAAUCGACAUGGCAAUGCAUAGGUGCUGAAAUAUGAUUGGGGAAAAAAAAAUUUUUGCAAAUAGACAAUCAUCUCAGAAGUUGUUACCCCCUGGAUCAGAUUUCAGUCGGGGUCGCACACCGGGCUGGUCCCGGCUCAGUUCUGCACAAAAUCGAUCUUUUAGUGGUGCAAGGUGGGGCGUGCGCCGCACUGCAGCACUGCUUUGUAGCGGGGCAUGCAAAGGUAAAAAAAAAAAAAGUGGAAGGAGCUGGGUGGGAUGGGAGGCGGCAGUUUGGCCCUUUGCAAGAGCCACCUCCCACUUCUCACUUUUCCACACCUCCUCACUCCCCGGCCAUUUUCGCCUCCUCAAGCUGUACUCCUCCGUACUCUCUCCACUAACUCCGGCAACGAGCCUAUGGCCUGAAAUUCAACUAAAAGGGGCCUCGGCUGCCUCGGUUCGAGCUUAAUGUUUCUUCAUAUGACUUGAUAAUUAUAGUGUCAAUCAAAAUUAGACUCGGUCCUCUUCCUGAUACAAUCUUAAUUGAUGGUAUGAGUGAAUAAAGUGAAUCACAUGGGAGACUGGUGGCUUUUUAGGUGUGCAGCUUAUAAGAGUAAAACGCCACCGAUGAUAAUAAACCAUCAAUUGUUUAUUCGAGUGACUUUCCACACUUUUGCAACUUUUCUUAAUUUUUUUCCCCCCCUCCGUGUAGUUUUUAUUUAAAUAAACCACAAAACAGUCAAGUUAGAGAAGUACAGUAUAAGUUUUGCUUGGUUUCCCUAAUUUACAUUAAUUAGAAAACCCACCAUCCAGAAAUGAAUUUAAAUCCAUUGACUUUUAUAAAAGUACACAGUGAGUAUUAUAGACAAAUCCAUCUCAAUUCUUUUCAUAACGUAAGAUUAAAUUCUUUAAUUUUAAAUGGACAUACAUCAGUGUGUUAAGUAUUGGGUGAAAUAUAUAAAUAGUAUAAAAUCUCAUCUUUAAAGUAUGUUUGAAAAAUACGUGAACAAAAUCAAAUGAAGUGAAUCAAAUGUAGA